GAGUUAAUAGUUAAAAUGGUUAUAAUAAAAAUUUUGUAAAUUUUAGUUAGAAAAUUCUUUAACUCU